rnacentral:lncRNA from 1 species
CUUGGUUCUUUUGUUGUUGCGUAUUUAUUUGUUUUGCAGGUGGUGGCAGAGGGCGUCAAACGCGUGAGGGAGCCUGGUGCGCAUGCGGCGGUGGUAGCGUGCUGACAUGGGAGUAGCGGCGGCACUAGGGGGCUAGGGUUUCUUUUUUUUCCCUGAAAGUGUGUUUAGGCUAUUGGGCUUAUCGGGCCAUUAGGGCUUUUCUGAUUUGGGCAUAUUUGGCCAUAUUGUAAAUGGACAGUUAUUAUUUUUUUGGGUUUUAUUUCUAUUAAUUUUGGGUUUUG